rnacentral:rRNA from 1 species
UACGUAGGGGGCAAGCGUUGUCCGGAAUCAUUGGGCGUAAAGCGCGUGUAGGCGGCUUCGUAAGUCCGUUGUGAAAGUCCAGGGCUCAACCCUGGAAUGCCGAUGGAUACUGCGGAGCUAGAGUCCGGAAGAGGCGAGUGGAAUUCCUGGUGUAGCGGUGGAAUGCGUAGAGAUCGGGAAGAACAUCAGUGGCGAAGGCGGCCUGCUGGGCUGUUGCUGACGCUGAGGCGCGACAGCGUGGGGAGCAAACAGG